GACGAACCGUCCAAACGUUAUUCGGAAUUAUUGGGCUUAAAGGGUGCGUAGGCUGUGCAGUAAGUUGGGUGUGAAAUCCCUCGGCUCAACCGAGGAACUGCGCCGAAUACUGCUGUGCUAGAGGAAGAUAGGGGUAAGCGGAACUGAUGGUGGAGCGGUGAAAUGCGUUGAUAUCAUCAGGAACACCGGUGGCGAAGGCGGCUUACUGGAUCUUUUCUGACGCUGAUGCACGAAAGCUAGGGGAGCGAACGGG
rnacentral:rRNA from 4 species